GAUGAACGCUGGCGGCGUGCCUAAUACAUGCAAGUCGAGCGAACAGAUGAGGAGCUUGCUCCUCUGACGUUAGCGGCGGACGGGUGAGUAACACGUGGAUAACCUACCUAUAAGACUGGGAUAACUUCGGGAAACCGGAGCUAAUACCGGAUAAUAUAUUGAACCGCAUGGUUCAAUAGUGAAAGACGGUUUUGCUGUCACUUAUAGAUGGAUCCGCGCCGCAUUAGCUAGUUGGUAAGGUAACGGCUUACCAAGGCAACGAUGCGUAGCCGACCUGAGAGGGGGAACGACCACAGUAGAACUGAAACACGGCCCAGACCCCUAGGGGAGGAACAAGGAGGGACUCUCACGCAAGGGGGGAAAGCCUGACGGAGCAGCGCCGCGAGAGGAAUGAGGGUCUUCGUAGCCAAAAACUUUUUGAUGAGGGAAAAAAAAUUGUGUAAGUAACUAGGCACGUCUGGACGGUACCUAAUAAGAAAGCCACGGCUAACUACGUG
rnacentral:rRNA from 1 species